AGAGCUCAGUGGUGCAGCACGUGCUUGGCAGGCACGAGGUCCUGGGUUCAAUCCCCAGU
rfam:Camelus ferus unplaced genomic scaffold scaffold164, whole genome shotgun sequence.